GCCUUCCCCGCCCCCCGCGGCGUCCCCGUCCGCCCCUCGGCGCGCUGAGCUCCCCACCCGCCGCUUGCGUCCUGCUCCGUUUACAGCAGUAAACACUGGGCAGCGGCCCCUGCGUGGAAGGGGGUUGUUCGGAAGUCGUUUAAAGACAGUGUCACCCUCAGGGUAAAUGCCCAGAAGCCGGGCCGCGCAUCCUUGGGCUGAGAAGUGUGGGAACGCCCGAGACCAAGCGAGACUCAGGCCGGAGUUUGGCUGCGGGUCAGGCUCAGGGUCUCGGGAGAAGAAGCCGUCAGACACGGCAGGGCUUAAACCUUCUAGAAAGCAUAUAUAUCCAUCCACUCCUUCUCCAGGAGCAGGGAGUACCACCCGGGCGGUGGCCCAGCGGCGAGGCCGCUCCCGGCGCCGCGCCUGGCUGACCGCUGCGGACGUUUCCUGUCCCGCCGCCCAAAUCUCGCGCUCCCGAGGAUUGAACCCAAAGCUGCCAUUACUGCAAGAAUUAAUGCUUAUUGCCAAGAAAUUCAAAUAAAGGAAACUCAUUGGAAAUGUUCAGAGAGGAAACGAUGACAGUGAUAAUUCCAAAUAUGAUGCUUUCUCCAUAAACUAUCCAUAGAGAUGGCACAGCUCUCGAUCAACCUUUGCCUGGUUGGCUUGAAAUGUUUUAAGUCUUUGACAUAAAAAUUGUGAAAGGACUCGUCGUUUCCAAAGUGAGAUGAAGAUUUUGUUACUGCUGUUUAUUAAAAUUUUUUCGUUGUGUUUCCACACAUG
ensembl:lncRNA novel transcript